rfam:Synechococcus phage S-CAM1 genomic sequence.
GCGGGAUUAGUUUAGAGGCAAAACUAAAGGUUUCCAACCUUUCGUCACCAGUUCGAUUCUGGUAUCCCGCU